CCUGGGGUCCAAUUUGCUGCGAGACUAGGGCUGGAAGUUCGAGGAGUUUGGAGGAGGGAGGUUGCCGGAGUUUGCUCUGAGUGUUUGGCUCUGUCGGGACAGUGAGCUUGUGUGGAGCUGGGAGGCAAGCCGAGUCUCUCCUCCGUAUUUGGCAGGCUUCCAUCUGCUCCGAAAACAGACCCUGAGAUCUCGUCUUGUUAACAAUCUCUCAUUGGGCAUUGUGGGAGGAAAGAGGGAAGGUGAGUCAGGACCCAACAUUUAAAAGGGGCUGCGCACAGAGCAGAGUCACCACUGCUCAGGAGCAACUCCUGCGUCCGCAGAGACGCUAGGAUGGAUGAGUUAUUUCACGGGGCGAACACCAGCCCCUGACUCUUCCAAAGUCUCCUGUUUCAUCUCUUCAGAGAUCCUUUGGCUGCAGAGAGUGCAGUGAGUCGGCUGCAGCUCGCUCCCCAGAAGAACAGCUGGACGACGGCCGAAUAUCCCCUCUUUUCCUCGGCGAGUUUGGACUUCGUGGGACACUCCGAGAACUUCGCGAAACUGAUGUGCUAUGCUUCGGAGACGCAGUCACCCCGUCAAUAAGAAUUUCAGGUCUCCUGAAUGGAGAAAAUCAUCUAUUUUGACGCAGAAAAUCAUAUAUGUUGGCAGAGUAAAUCAUCCACGUUGGCAAAUAAAAUUAGAGCGGCUGCUCUGAAAAUGAGCACUGAAACUUCGUGGAAACGUCUGUCCCACCUAGCUCAGCAGUUCAGGACCAGAAGCAAGUCAACAAUGUGAGAGAGACCAGAUCAUCCAGAUCAGGAUGCGUAAAAGAAAAAGAAAAAGAAAGAGGAAAAAGAAACGGAAGCGGAAACGGAAGUGGAAGCCCAAUUGGAAGAAUAUUCUUCAAAGAUGGUUACAAAGGUCGGUCAAAUACUCUGCUGUAAAACCCCUCCGUUGUGUUAAUCAAUACCUAGUGUGCAUAGCCUUAGCUCAUCUGGGAUCUUGAGAGAAGAUCAAAAGGAGGACAAGAAAUAUAAGGGGAAUUUGGGGAAGCAUUCCUACAAUCCUACAAAAAAUUAGCAGAUGAUUUCUACAUUGACAAUAUGAGGGAUGAUUUCUGUACUCCCUCAGGAGAAUAUGGCCUGAAAUAGGGUCAUCACACCUCAGAGUUAGAGAACUGUUCUGUUGUUCUUAAAAGACUAUCCAGUCCUCCUUCUCACAACAGAUGGAGAAUUCAUCUUGGGAAGUACUUACCCAAAAUCACAAGAGAGGCAAAGAUGAGAUUUGAACUCAAUCUGCUGAUUUCAAGUCCAAGAUUCUUUUGAAGGGACCUUAGAGAUAUUCUGGUCCUACUUUGUAAAUUUGCAGCUGGUGAAACUGAGGCCUUGAGGGCAAACUGGCUUGAGCUCCUGGUCUACUAAUUAGCUACAUUGUAGAAGCAAGCAUCCCAACGCUUGCAAAUAAUACAUGUACCUUGAUCUAAAGCAUUAGAUUUCCUGGCAUUUCUAGGGAGGAAAUAACAGAGAGAGAUCAUUUUGUCCAAACUGUGUGAGCAGCUUUGGAAUAACUGAUACUCUGGGUUCAGAGAGCUGCCAGGCAGGGAAAAUAAUCAGAACCAUGGAGCAAUGUGGUCUCUCCAGAGAGCCACACCCUAUUUUUUGGCCCAAGACCAUUUUCCUCAAU